UGUAAUUCACGAAUUCCCGUAUGUUAAAACAUUACUAAACCAAAUUAACAAAUAUGGGUUUGAGAAAAUUUGUCAAAGUUUAAGCCUUAUAAUGAUUAUAAGCAGGGAUUCGGCACUACAACUAGUACCCAGACGAGUAAAAGGGUAAAUCGAAAGAAAACAGUAAAGGAUAUUGAUGGAAAUAUCCAAGUAAAGCCUGAUAUGUAGAUUUCAAUCCAAGUUGAGCUAAAUAAGCUACUGUUACUGUCAAAAGAAGAUAACCCAGAUUUCCCUUUCAGAUUGAUAUGUCCCAACAACGUUACAUUACAUAGAUUGGUACUAUUGUAUGUGGGUUUGCUUCUUUCUGAAUAUUUAUACAAAGCAAACAUGUAAAUAUGGGGAAAACUGUAUGAUAAACAAAUAAAAACCAGAUCACAAAACACCACAAAAUCACAUGUCAUCCCCGAAAU
rnacentral:misc_RNA from 1 species